CUAGAGUACGUCAGAGGGGGGUAGAAUUCCACGUGUAGCAGUGAAAUGCGUAGAGAUGUGGAGGAAYACCGAUGGCGAAGGCAGCCCCCUGGGAUGAUACUGACGCUCAUGCACGAAAGCGUGGGGAGCAAACAGGAUUAGAUACCCUGGUAGUCCACGCCCUAAACGAUGUCAACUAGCUGUUGGGGA
rnacentral:rRNA from 1 species